UACGUCGGGACCAAGCGUUGUUCGGAUUUACUGGGCGUAAAGGGCGCGUAGGCGGCAUGUUAAGUCAGCUGUGAAAUCUCCGAGCUUAACUCGGAACUGUCAGCUGAUACUGAUGUGCUAGAGUGCAGAAGGGGCAAUCGGAAUUCUUGGUGUAGCGGUGAAAUGCGUAGAUAUCAAGAGGAACACCUGAGGUGAAGACGGGUUGCUGGGCUGACACUGACGCUGAGGCGCGAAAGCCAGGGGAGCAAACGGG
rnacentral:rRNA from 1 species